GCACUGCUGACGAGUCCCAAAUAGGACGAGACAGCAGUUCAGUGC
rnacentral:hammerhead_ribozyme from 1 species